GGAGCUUCAACUUAAGUUAAUUUUAUUAUUAAUACAAAUCACAUGCCAAAUUGCCAAUGAAUUUGGCUUGUAUCUAUCUAGAUUAUAAAAAUAAAUGUAUGCGUCUUUCCAUUUGUGAGCUUUGAUUUGGAUUUGUAAAAUCUAAAUUACAAACAGAUAACAAAAGGGAAAGGAUCAUGUCACUGAUUGGCGGCUUAAGCAAUUUGCGUCUCCCACAGUAUUACUGAGCUUAUGUGCAAGUGCAACAACUGAGCCUACUUGAGAGGGAUUUGGGAAUCAGGUCCUUAAACGUUACUUGAAAUUCUUGUGUCUGUUUUAAUUUCACAGUUAAGGAAUUUUUGUCCAAAUGGCUCCCAAAUGAUAGAUUUUUCAGGAUGUAAUUUGAAGGACAAAAAGAAAAAUCAGUUGCUCAUAAAAUCAGCAAGUUUAUUUGAACCUCAUAGAGACAAUCCACCAGCAAACACAGGAAACAUGGAGCUUGCCAAUUUUCAUCCUUGGCUGGUACCACCUCCAAAGUCAUCAUAUGAGCAGCCAUCCCUGCCACACAAACACAACCAGAACAUGCUCAAAAGAUUAUGGGUAUUUAUCUAGUGGUCAAAUUUCACAACCAUCUUCUGGCUUCCAAGGAGUACCAGUGUGGAAGGUCCAAUUUAAACUGGUCUCUUAUUUGUGGCAUCCUCAUGUACCAAUGAAAUCCACCUUCUCCCACCCGUUGCAAAGGAAGCCAUCAAUUUGCUGCUGACCUAGAUAGUUAGCACCUUCAAGCCAGUUGGUUCGGAGAACACCCACCGAGAAAUGCAGAACGCUGCAUUCUUGAGUCCAUGGUGUGUAGAUAUACGAAGUCCCAUUAUCCCAUUCAAGGUCAUACAAGAGCUUUCCCAGCUGAUUCUGGAUUAUGUUGAAGUUGCGGCCAUUGGGCCAGUCGUACCAGAGGUCCACCACUUGGAGGUUGCCGGCGUUAUUGUUCAUGAAGAGUAUUGAGUGAAAUUGGUGAGGCCAUGCAGC
rnacentral:misc_RNA from 1 species